rnacentral:lncRNA from 1 species
CCUUCUUGAUCCCACACUCUUAAACAUAUAAGCUAAAAUGUUGUACAUCCGAUCUUUGGAAAAUGAUAGUCAUGUAAAGAAAAAAAUAUUUACCUAGAUAGAUUAUCUUUCCAUAAGGUUGAGUGAUCUGAUGUGACAAAUAUUUUAAAUGCUACACUCAUGAUCUUAUCAUCCAUCAACUUUGUCUUGCUCACUAUGC